rnacentral:rRNA from 1 species
UACGGAGGGUGCAAGCGUUGCUCGGAAUCACUGGGCGUAAAGAGCGUGUAGGCGGUUUCGUAUGUCUGACGUGAAAGCCCCGGGCUCACCCCGGGAAGUGCGUCGGAAACUGCGGAACUAGAGUCUCGGAGAGGGAGGUGGAAUUCCAGGUGUAGCGGUGAAAUGCGUAGAUAUCUGGAAGAACACCGGUGGCGAAGGCUACCUCCUGGACGAUGACUGACGCUGAGACGCGAAAGCGUGGGGAGCAAACAGG